rnacentral:lncRNA from 1 species
GUCAGUUCAGGUUAAUAAUGGAGUAAUCUCUAUUCCAUUGAUAAUGAGGCACACAAAAAAAAUUAGACAAUUUUCAGAUUUUACUGCAGUAGCUAUAUGUACAGCACCACAGCUCCUACAGCUGGUAUAUGUGUAUAUAUGUUAAUGAUAUGUACAGCACCACAGCUCCUACAGCUGGUAUAUGUGUAUAUAUGUUAAUGCUGUUUUCAUGUUUAUUGGAUGUAUCCGUCUUGUGUUACAGAACUAUCUGCUAUCAAGGAUCACUAAACAAUACAAGGGGCAGCUA